CCAGACUCCUACGGGAGGCAGCAGUGGGGGAUAUUGCACAAUGGGGGAAACCCUGAUGCAGCGACGCCGCGUGAGUGAAGAAGUAUUUCGGUAUGUGAAGCUCUAUCAGCAGGGAAGAAAAUGACAGUACCUGACCAAGAAGCCCCGGCUAACUACGUGCCAGCAGCCGCGGUAAUACGUAGGGGGCAAGCGUUAUCCGGAUUUACUGGGUGUAAAGGGAGCGUAGACGGUUAUGUAAGUCUGGAGUGAAAGCCCGGGGCCCAACCCCGGGACUGCUUUGGAAACUGUGUAACUGGAGUACGGGAGGGGCAGGCGGAAUUCCUGGUGUAGCGGUGAAAUGCGUAGAUAUCAGGAGGAACACCGGCGGCGAAGGCGGCCUGCUGGACUGAAACUGACGUUGAGGCUCGAAAGCGUGGGGAGCAAACAGGAUUAGAUACCCGGGUAU
rnacentral:rRNA from 1 species